AGACUUUUCCUUAAAUAAAUCUAUGUGUAUUUACCCUUCUUGUGCUGCUUUAGAAAAGUGCCUGAUCAACCUAUUUCCUUAAUUAUUCUACCCGUUUGAAAUAAUAAUCCCUUAACUAAAGGAAAACUUGUAUAACUGAUUGACAAUUGAUUUUUUAAAUUAUUCUCCUAUCUUAUGUUGCUUGCCUUCUACACUAUAAAAAGGGCACGACUCCUUUCUCACCAACACACCUUGAGUUCGAUAAUUUUUAGAUAUUUUCAAUUACACAACUCACAAUUCAACACAUUUACACACACAAUCUCGUAGCUUUCUUCUAAAAUCUUCUGAUUAUUUACUUGCAAUUUGCCUUACAAGACUACUGCUUUAUUCUCUUGUUUCCCACAACCUGAUAUGUUUACAGCUUCUACAAUCAUGUCUACUUUGCUAUCUAUGCUCAAUGUUAAAUAUGUAUGAUGUUCUCUUUACAUUUGUUUCUGUUGUGAAUCCUUAUUCCCUUCUAUGUGUUUAAGUUAAAGUUCAUAACAUGAAAACAUCCAAAUUGUUGCUCAUGUCUGGACUUGAUCAUUUAAGGGAUCCUAACUCCCAAACAAUAUGGCUAACAAGAUGGUUGGGAUAUGCCAGCACUUCCAAAUGCUGGGUAUGACCACCAGCCUAUCUCUGCUUUCCCCAGAGUCCCAUCUUUUCACUUACACUCUCUCCUAGCUUCUAAGUUUUGCCCCCUCCUAUGCGCCUUGGUUUGGGACCUUGAGUUUCCUUUAAACUUGGAAAUUUGAGGACUGGCUCUUCCACACUGCAAUAUGAUUCAAGUUUGCAAUAUUUGGGUGUGAGCACUGCCCGAAGUCCACUUGAGAAUCUUAGGGAACUCUGACACAUCCCAAAUAAGAGAGAGGCUUUGGAAUCUGAUCUUUGAAGAUUGGUUUAUUUCAUGUUUCCGACAGGAAAUCUGAAUCAGGCUUUCAUUGGUUGUAAUUUUAGUUCUUUGAUGC
rnacentral:lncRNA from 1 species